AGUCUAUGAUGAUAAAGUUUUAGGCUUGUUUCUCAAAACAUUCGCAGUGGCCGCCUGAGAGCUUUCGCCUUCGCCAGGCUUGAGAGCUUCUGCUGUUUUAUCCUUCCUUGGAUGUUUGAGACU
rfam:Cucumis melo, WGS project CAJI01000000 data, contig: 23664